GACGAACGCUGGCGGCGUGCUUAACACAUGCAAGUCGAACGGAAAGGCCCUGCUUUUGUGGGGUGCUCGAGUGGCGAACGGGUGAGUAACACGUGAGUAACCUGCCCUUGACUUUGGGAUAACUUCAGGGAACUGGGGCUAAUACCGGAUAGGAGCUCCUGCUGCAUGGUGGGGGUUGGAAAGUUUCGGCGGUUGGGGAUGGGCUCGGGGCUUAUCAGCUUGUUGGUGGGGUAGUGGCUUACCAAGGCUUUGACGGGUAGCCGGCCUGGGAGGGGGACCGGCAACAUGGGGCUGGAGAGCGGGCCCGGAUUCCUAGGGGAGGCAGCGGGGGGGAUUAUGGAACAUGGGGGGGAAGCCGGAUGCAGAAACGCGGCUGGGGGGAGGAGGGCCUUGGGGUGGAAACCGCUUUCGCCUGUGACGAAGCGUGAGUGACGGUAAUGGGUAAAGAAGCACCGGCUAACUACGUG
rnacentral:rRNA from 1 species